rnacentral:rRNA from 1 species
CCCUUAGAGUUUGAUCCUGGCUCAGAUUGAACGCUGGCGGCAGGCCUAACACAUGCAAGUCGAGCGGUAACAGAUUGAUAGCUUGCUAUCAAUGCUGACGAGCGGCGGACGGGUGAGUAAUGCCUGGGAAUAUGCCCUGAUGUGGGGGAUAACUAUUGGAAACGAUAGCUAAUACCGCAUAACCUCUUCGGAGCAAAGAGGGGGACCUUCGGGCCUCUCGCGUCAGGAUUAGCCCAGGUGGGAUUAGCUUGUUGGUGGGGUAAUGGCUCACCAAGGCAACGAUCCCUAGCUGGUCUGAGAGGAUGAUCAGCCACACUGGAACUGAGACACGGUCCAGACUCCUACGGGAGGCAGCAGUGGGGAAUAUUGCACAAUGGGGGAAACCCUGAUGCAGCCAUGCCGCGUGUAUGAAGAAGGCCUUCGGGUUGUAAAGUACUUUCAGUUGUGAGGAAGGCAGUAAAGUUAAUAGCUUUGCUGUUUGACGUUAGCAACAGAAGAAGCACCGGCUAACUCCGUGCCAGCAGCCGCGGUAAUACGGAGGGUGCGAGCGUUAAUCGGAAUUACUGGGCGUAAAGCGCAUGCAGGUGGUCUGUUAAGCAAGAUGUGAAAGCCCGGGGCUCAACCUCGGAACAGCAUUUUGAACUGGCAGACUAGAGUGCUGUAGAGGGGGGGUAGAAUUUCAGGUGUAGCGGUGAAAUGCGUAGAGAUCUGAAGGAAUACCGGGUGGCGAAGGCGGCCCCCUGGACAGAUACUGACACUCAGAUGCGAAAGCGUGGGGAGCA